rnacentral:rRNA from 1 species
AUUGAACGCUGGCGGCAUGCUUUACACAUGCAAGUCGAACGGUAACAGGUUAAGCUGACGAGUGGCGAACGGGUGAGUAAUGCAUCGGAACGUGCCCGAUCGUGGGGGAUAACGCAGCGAAAGCUGCGCUAAUACCGCAUACGAUCUGAGGAUGAAAGCGGGGGACCGUAAGGCCUCGCGCGAUCGGAGCGGCCGAUGUCAGAUUAGGUAGGUGGUGGGGUAAAGGCUCACCAAGCCAACGAUCUGUAGCUGGUCUGAGAGGACGACCAGCCACACUGGGACUGAGACACGACCCAGACUCCUACGGGAGGCAGCAGUGGGGAAUUUUGGACAAUGGGCGAAAGCCUGAUCCAGCAAUGCCGCGUGCAGGAAGAAGGCCUUCGGGUUGUAAACUGCUUUUGUACGGAGCGAAAAGGUUCUCUCUAAUACAGAGGGCUCAUGACGGUACCGUAAGAAUAAGCACCGGCUAACUACGUGCCAGCCGCCGCCGCAGUAA